rnacentral:rRNA from 1 species
UACGAAGGGGGCUAGCGUUGCUCGGAUUGACUGGGCGUAAAGGGCGCGUAGGCGGAUAGUACAGUCAGGCGUGAAAUUCCUGGGCUCAACCUGGGGGCUGCGUUUGAUACGUGUUGUCUGGAGUUCGGAAGAGGGUCGUGGAAUUCCCAGUGUAGAGGUGAAAUUCGUAGAUAUUGGGAAGAACACCGGUGGCGAAGGCGGCGACCUGGUCCGAUACUGACGCUGAGGCGCGAAGGUCAGGGGAGCAAACGGG